CCUACGGGAGGCUGCAGUGAGGAAUAUUGGUCAAUGGGCGCGAGCCUGAACCAGCCAAGUCGCGUGAAGGAUGACUGCCCUACGGGUUGUAAACUUCUUUUAUAAAGGAAUAAAGUGAGCCACGUGUGCCUUUUUGUAUGUACUUUAUGAAUAAGGAUCGGCUAACUCCGUGCCAGCAGCCGCGGUAAUACGGAGGAUCCGAGCGUUAUCCGGAUUUAUUGGGUUUAAAGGGUGCGUAGAUGGGUUGAUAAGUCAGUUGUGAAAGUUUGCGGCUCAACCGUAAAAUUGCAAUUGAUACUGGCAGUCUUGAGUACAGAUGAGGUAGGCGGAAUGCGUGGUGUAGCGGUGAAAUGCUUAGAUAUCACGAAGAACUCCGAUUGCGAAGGCAGCUUACUAGACCGCCACUGACAUUGAUGCACGAAAGUGUGGGUAUCGAACAGGAUUAGAUACCCGGGUAGUC
rnacentral:rRNA from 1 species